rnacentral:lncRNA from 1 species
AUGUUACUUCAUGAUGACCUUACAUGUUUUAUUGUCAGGGCCGGAUCUAGACUGGCAGACAGAAUUGUGAAGGGGGCACAUUGUGAUGGAAAGGGGAAAGGUGUGGGUUGGUGGCGGAGGUGCUCUGGAUGUUUUUGUCACACCUCUGCUGGCUUCCUGUACCACAGCACAUCACAUUCAACGUCCUCCAAAACCUGGCACCCCUCCUACCCCUCUGACCUGCUCCAUCCGUCUUCCUCCCCCCCCCACAGGACCAAGGUAUGAACUUGGCGGGGCAGCCGUCUCCAUUGUUGCCCCCACCCGCUGGAACUCACUCCCACAACUGCUCUGAGCUCUCCACCUUCAAAAAUCUGCUCAAGACUCAUUUUCAAAACUUUAAAGAGCAAGUCACCCCCUACCAGAAUAUUAUUCCACCCCCACUUUCUGUUUGAAAAAUGCAACAAAUGCUGUUGCCUAGCAGACCGAGAGGGCGGAGCCGCUAACAAAUACACACAGGCUCACAACGACAUUGUGACAUCAUAUGGUACCAGCUAACGUUCUAGGGUACCUCUUGGCCAAUAGCGAUGGCAGAUUUAAAUUCAAAUGCAGUGUAGUUUUUAUCUGACAACGGCACAACACUGACAGUUUUAGGCAGAAAAUUAAAAUUUUUACUAAAAUGCACUAAAGUGCGAAAACUAUUGACUACACGUGUCUGCAGCACGAUUAGACACACAUUUAGUUUAUCAACAAAAAAAGUUGAUUUGAGGGUGACUUGCUCUUAAAUGUUUUAUUAUGACCCCAGGACACGUCCUAUGGGGUCCCACCUGAAGGCGGAGCUUCUGCUGGUGCAGCUUAUGCUCAGAGGCUUGAAAGCCCUCAGACCACAAUAAAGUGGUAACGCUUCAGGGAUAAAACAGAAAAAUACAUGAUCCUUUAUUGGGUUUUAGUGACUAGAAACAUGUAUGUUAUGUGCUUAUUUUGUUGCAAAUUUGAAAUAAUCUUUUAUUUCUGCACACGACAACAGAGCAGGAAAAGAAUAAACACGGAUAUCCAGCUGUUUGCUUUAAAGUAAAGAGGAAACAUAAAGAAACAAAUAAAGCUAAAUAUAAAAUAUGUCGUAACA